GUAUCCUAAUUUGAACUUUUUGGCCUGUGUCUCUAAGAUUUUUGAUGUAAAAUGAACAAGGUGAUGAAUGAAUUAUCACCUUUGGGCUACCGGAGCCAGGGGUGACCAUGUUGGGCUUGAGGAGGGUGCCUUCAAGAAGCACAUGGUGGUCACUCAGCGCCUUGUAAACUGCAGCGAGCACAAUCUCGGUAGCAGCAGCACACUUGUUGAUAUCAUGAGGGCCAUCAGUUAGGAUUUCAGGCUCCACAAUAGGGACCAACCCAUUCUCCUGACAGAUAAUGGCAUAGCGGGCCAGGCCCUGAGCGUUCUGUUGGAUAGACAACUCAGAGGGCUCAGAAGGGCCAAUCUUGAGAACAGCACGCCAUUUA
rnacentral:lncRNA from 1 species